GAUGAACGCUGGCGGCGUGCCUAAUACAUGCAAGUCGAGCGAACGGACGAGAAGCUUGUUUCUCUGAUGUUAGCGGCGGACGGGUGAGUAACACGUGGAUAACCUACCUAUAAGACUGGGAUAACUUCGGGAAACCGGAGCUAAUACCGGAUAAUAUUUUGAACCGCAUGGUUCAAAAGUGAAAGAUGGUCUUGCUGUCACUUAUAGAUGGAUCCGCGUUGCAUUAGCUAGUUGGUAAGGUAACGGCUUACCAAGGCAACGAUGCAUAGCCGACCGGAGAGGUGGAUCGGCCAAACUGGAACGGGAAAACGGUCCAGACUCCUACGGGAGGCAGCAGUAGGGAAUCUUCCGCAAUGGGCGAAAGCCUGACGGAGCAACGCCGCGUGAGUGAUGAAGGUCUUCGGAUCGUAAAACUCUGUUAUUAGGGAAGAACAUAUGUGUAAGUAACUGUGCACAUCUUGACGGUACCUAAUCAGAAAGCCACGGCUAACUACGUG
rnacentral:rRNA from 1 species